rnacentral:rRNA from 1 species
GUUGUUCGGAAUUACUGGGCGUAAAGGGCUCGUAGGCGGCCAACUAAGUCAGACGUGAAAUCCCUCGGCUUAACCGGGGAACUGCGUCUGAUACUGGAUGGCUUGAGUUUGGGAGAGGGAUGCGGAAUUCCAGGUGUAGCGGUGAAAUGCGUAGAUAUCUGGAGGAACACCGGUGGCGAAGGCGGCAUCCUGGACCAACACUGACGCUGAGUGAGCGAAAGCCAGGGGAGCAAACGGG